rnacentral:rRNA from 1 species
AGAGUUUGAUCCUGGCUCAGGAUAAACGCUGGCGGCGUGCCUAACACAUGCAAGUCGAACGUCCUGCUCCCGCAAGGGAGCAGGGAGUGGCGGACGGGUGAGGAGCACAUGGGUACCUACCCCCAGGUGAGGAAUACCACCGAGAAAUCGGUGACAAAACCGCAUAGCUUUCUUGGGAAGCCCCAAGAAGGAAAGUUUCUUCUCGAAGAGACGCCUAGGGAUGGGCCUGUGCCUGAUUAGCUGGUUGGUGGGGUAAGCGCCUACCAAGGCGACGAUCAGUAGCUGGUCUGAGAGGAUGAUCAGCCACACUGGGAUUGAGAACGGCCCAGACUCCUACGGGGGGCAGCAGUGAGGAAUUUUCGGCAAUGGACGCAAGUCUGACCGAGCAACGCCGCGUGCAGGACGACGCUUUUCGGAGUGUAAACUGCUUUUCUGGAGGACGAGUGAUCGGACGGUACUCCAGCAAGAAGCCCCGGCUAACUACGUGCCAGCAGCCGCGGUAAUACGUAGGGGGCGAGCGUUGUCCGGAGUUACUGGGCGUAAAGGGCCCGCAGGCGGUCGUCCACGUUUAGGCUGACAAACCUCGGCUUCACCGAGGAGGGUGUCUGAAAACGAGACGACUUGAGGCAGAGAGAGGGACAGGGAAUUCCGGGUGGAGUGGUGAAAUGCGUAGAUAUCCGGAGGAACACCAAAGGCGAAGGCACUGUCCUGGCUCUGACCUGACGCUCGGGGGCGAGAGCUAGGGGAGCGAACGGGAUUAGAUACCCCGGUAGUCC